rnacentral:rRNA from 1 species
CUUCCCGGUGGGUAUACGAACCUAAACGGACGCGGUAAAUCGUGCUAAGGUAGCUAAAUUAUGGCCUAUUAAUUCGUAGGCCCUGUGAAUGGUUUGACGAGUCUUCAUCUGUCUCAAGGUUAUUUUGGUGAACUUGAAUUAAAUGUGCAAAUGCAUUUAUGUGGAAGAAAGACGAGAAGACCCUGUGAAGUUAGAAAUUGUGGCUGACAUUUAGAGAUUUUCUAAAAGUUAGAGUCAGAAGUUUUGGCUGGGGCAGCAAAAAGGCAAAUCUAGACCUUUUUAUUUAAUCAAUGGGUGCGUAACGACCCACACGGGCGGUAAAGUGUGCUUAGCAGAAGGAGUUACUCCAGGGAUAACAGCGUUAUCCAUCCUGAUAGUUCUUAUAGAUGGGUGGGUUUGCGACCUCGAUGUUGGCUCUGGGUUUCCGGAGGCUGUAGGUGGUCUCAAAGGUUGGUUUGUUCACCCAUUAAAACCCAACGUGAUCUG